CCUANGGGGGGCAGCAGUGGGGAAUAUUGGACAAUGGGCGAAAGCCUGAUCCAGCGACGCCGCGUGUGUGAAGAAGGCCUGCGGGUUGUAAAGCACUUUCGAUGGGAACGAAAUGUGUCGGGCUAAUACCCCGGCAAGCUGACGUUACUCAAUGAAGAAGCACCGGCUAACUCUGUGCCAGCAGCCGCGGUAAUACAGAGGGUGCGAGCGUUAAUCGGAAUUACUGGGCGUAAAGCGCACGUAGGUGGCGACGUAAGUCGGGUGUGAAAGCCCCGGGCUCAACCUGGGAAUUGCAUUCGAGACUGCAUUGCUGGAGUACGGAAGAGGAGGGCGGAAUUCCCGGUGUAGCGGUGAAAUGCGUAGAUAUCGGGAGGAACAUCAGUGGCGAAGGCGGCCCUCUGGUCCAGUACUGACACUCAAGUGCGAAAGCGUGGGGAGCAAACAGGAUUAGAUACCCCGNUANUC
rnacentral:rRNA from 1 species